GAUGAACGCUGGCGGCGUGCCUAAUACAUGCAAGUCGAGCGAACAGACGAGGAGCUUGCUCCUCUGACGUUAGCGGCGGACGGGUGAGUAACACGUGGAUAACCUACCUAUAAGACUGGGAUAACUUCGGGAAACCGGAGCUAAUACCGGAUAAUAUAUUGAACCGCAUGGUUCAAUAGUGAAAGACGGUUUUGCUGUCACUUAUAGAUGGAUCCGCGCCGCAUUAGCUAGUUGGUAAGGUAACGGCUUACCAAGGCGACGAUGCGUAGCCGACGUGAGAGGGUGAUCGGCGACACUGGAAGGGGGACGGGGACCAUACUCCUACGGGAGGCAGCAGUAGGGAAUGGUCCGCAAUGGGCGGAAGCCUGACGGAACGACGCCGCGUGAGUGAUGACAGUCUUGGGAGCGUAAAACUCUGUUAUUAGGGAAGAACAAAUGUGUAAGGAACUAUGCACGUCUUGACGGUACCGGAUCAGAAAGCCACGGCUAACUACGUG
rnacentral:rRNA from 1 species